rnacentral:rRNA from 1 species
UACGUAGGGGGCCAGCGUUGUUCGGAAUUACUGGGUGUAAAGGGUUCGUAGGCGGUGUGGCAAGUUGGGAGUGAAAUCUCUGGGCUCAACCCAGAGACGGCUUCCAAAACUGCCGUGCUUGAGUGUGGGAGAGGCUCGUGGAAUUGCAGGUGUAGCGGUGAAAUGCGUAGAGAUCAUGAGGAAGACCAGUGGCGAAGGCGGGUCUCUGGACAGUUCCUGACACUGAGGCACGAAGGCCAGGGGAGCAAACGGG